ACACACAAUGCACCCCUUGCACACAGAAAAACACACAAUGCAUUACACACACAGACACACAUACACAAGCAAUGCAACCGUUACACACAAUGCAUCCCUUACACACACAGAAACACACAAUGCAUUCAUUACACACACUCAAUGCACCCCUUACACAUUCAAUGCAUCCCAUACAUACACAGAAACACACCUUGCAGCCCUUACACAUACAAACACAAUUUCACACAAUGCAUUCCUUACACACAUAUCAGGACAUCCCCUACA